rnacentral:rRNA from 1 species
CCUACGGGUGGCAGCAGUGAGGAAUAUUGGACAAUGGGCGCAAGCCUGAACCAGCCAAGUCGCGUGAGGGAUGACGGACCUAUGGAUUGUAAACCUCUUUUGUCGGGGAGCAAGGCCCGCCACGUGUGAAGGGAAGGAGAGUACCCGAAGAAAAAGCAUCGGCUAACUCCGGGCCGGGAGCCGCGGUAAUACGGAGGAUGGGAGCGUUAUCCGGAUUCGUUGGGUUUGAAGGGUGGGUGGGCGGAUGGGUAAGUCAGCGGGAAAAUGUCGGUGCUCAACACCGGACUGCUGUUGAAACUGGACUGCUUGAGUGAGCGAGAGGUAUGCGGAAUUCGUGGUGUAGCGGUGAAAUGCAUAGAUAUCACGCAGAACUCCGAUUGCGAAGGCAGCAUACGGGAGCGCAACUGACGCUGAGGCACGAAAGCGUGGGGAUCGAACAGGAUUAGAUACCCUUGUAGUC